ACGAAGCCCCCUUCGCUGCCGCAUCCCCUUCCUUGUCCUUUUUCCUGCACAAGCCAAGAGUGCCAAACAGAGAGCAGAGGCGACAAGAUGGAGGCAGCGUUGGCAGAGCUAGAGCGAGUCCAGACUCAAAUCCUCGAAAGAAUAUCGAAGCUAGAGCUCUCUCACCUGCCUCAAAACGCUGAACCUCUCGCUUCCUCAUCUCCUCUCACCAACGACGACGUCGAAGCUCGCCUCUCUAACAUUCUCCGAUCCAACGGCGUCAACGACUUCUUCUUCAAGAGAGUCUCCUCCGAUUACUAUGAUUGGUCGCUCAAGUCCCGUCGCGAAGUCCUCGGCGCCGCCUCUGUUCAUCAUCUCUGUAAAAGCAUCGUUUUGGUUAAUACUCAAGCACCAUCCAAUGUAAUCGAUUGUAGUGAUCGUAACAAUUCAAAGUAUUAUGUUGUUGUAGUCCAGUAUACUGCUAGAUUCAAUGCUGAAACUGUAAAAAAUUUUCUAUACACACUCAACAACGGCAAGAUAUCAAAGAAGAAAUUUAACUUGAGGCUUGCUCCUGAGGAGACAUCAAUAAAGUUGACUGGCUAUGAGCACAAUGCAGUUACUUGCAUUGGCAUGCAAACUGACAUUCCAGUAAUUUUGGAUGAAGCUAUUGUAAAACUUAGUCCUGAUUUCUUCUGGUUGGGUGGAGGAGAGGUUGAUUUAAAGCUUGGAAUCAGAACCUCUGAAUUUAUCAGCUUUGUCAAACCUUUCAUUGUGAACUGCAGUGGUACCUGAGUAUACCAAAUGAAUCCAUUAAUUAAAUUGGAAGGACGUUAUGACUAAAGACAAUUUAGUAAAGAGUUCAAGGAAUGCCAUUCCUAUGGAAACCCCAUCUGUUGGAGAAAUUGAUGCUUCAGAUUUGGAGACUAAAUUUCGGCAUUUUUUCUUUCUUUUGGUUUCUUUGGGCUAUUCAAAUUUGGAAGCCAAUCAGGCAAUAUUUGAUGAUGUAGCUAGAUUGUUUUCUACGAGGUCAAUUUACUUGGCAAUGCUGGCGCAUGAUUUACAGAGGGCCACGUGUUGCAUAACUCUUGGCUACUGAAUGCGUAGCAGGCAGUAUAAUCUCUGGCCCGUUGUUGGCUAUACGAGGAAGACAGAACAGC